rnacentral:tRNA from 1 species
GCCUGGACAGCUCAGUUGGUUAGAGCAUGGUGCUGAUAACACCAAGGUUGUGGGUUCGAUCCCUGUAUGGGACA